rnacentral:tRNA from 1 species
GCCCUUGUAGCUCAGCUGGUAGAGCGCCUGAUUUGUAAUCAGGAGGUAGCGGGUUCGAGUCCUGCCGGGGGCA